rnacentral:rRNA from 1 species
AACGAACGCUGGCGGCAUGCCUAACACAUGCAAGUCGAACGAGACCUUCGGGUCUAGUGGCGCACGGGUGCGUAACGCGUGGGAACCUGCCUUUAGGUUCGGAAUAACUCAGAGAAAUUUGAGCUAAUACCGGAUAAUGUCUUCGGACCAAAGAUUUAUCGCCUUUAGAUGGGCCCGCGUAAGAUUAGCUAGUUGGUGGGGUAAAGGCCUACCAAGGCGACGAUCUUUAGCUGGUCUGAGAGGAUGAUCAGCCACACUGGGACUGAGACACGGCCCAGACUCCUACGGGAGGCAGCAGUGGGGAAUAUUGGACAAUGGGCGAAAGCCUGAUCCAGCAAUGCCGCGUGAGUGAUGAAGGGCCUUAGGGUUGUAAAGCGUCUUUUACCCGAGAUGAUAAUGACAGUAUCGGG